CUACGGGGCGCUCCAGUGAGGAAUAUUGCACAAUGGGGGGAACCCUGAUGCAGCAACGCCGCGUGGAGGAUGACGCAUUUCGGUGUGUAAACUCCUUUUAUAUGUCAAGAAAAUGACGGUAGCAUAUGAAUAAGCACCGGCUAACUCCGUGCCAGCAGCCGCGGUAAUACGGAGGGUGCAAGCGUUACUCGGAAUCACUGGGCGUAAAGGACGCGUAGGCGGGUUGGAAAGUCAGGUGUGAAAUCCUACAGCUUAACUGUAGAACUGCACUUGAAACUUCUAAUCUAGAGUAUGGGAGGGGGUGAUGGGAUUAGUGGUGUAGGGGUAAAAUCCGUAGAUAUCACUAGGAAUACCUAAAGCGAAGGCGAUCUCCUGGAACAUUACUGACGCUAAGGCGUGAAAGCGUGGGGAGCAAACAGGAUUAGAUACCCUCGUAGUC
rnacentral:rRNA from 1 species